CAUAUGGCACAUCUGAUUACCAAAGGAGCCAUGUUAAAAAAGCACUACCAGUUCUAUCUUAAGGAUUUCUUCUCAAAGACGAAAGUGACUUUUUACCAUGUAGCACAGGGUUAGCUAAAACCAGUCUAUGCAGCCAUGUUAAACAAGAGUCACCAGGAGAAAGCGUUUGCGAAUGUCACGAUGCAUGAAUUUCUGUUCUCAGCAAGCGCUGCAAUCCUGCCCAGUUAUUUUUGCAGUCAGUUAGAUGUAAUUUACACGUUACAAGUGUAGGCUUUCGAGAAGUUAACUCCAUCUAAGAAUGAAGUCCACCUGCACUGAAAAGUAGAAAACAAAUUGGUUGCUUACUUUCAAGCAUUUUCUUGCUCUAAAGUACAGUUCUAUUAAAUAACCUUAAUUUUGUUCUUAUCGAAGGGCUGUCAUUUCAGUGGCACAAGAACCAAGGACAAGUUACAAUACAAACAUUAACGCAGAUGAUUAACUGCGAACAGGAGUACUUCGAGUUUAAACAGGCUCAGAUUACAAAAGCAUUUAGUAACUUGCUUCAGCUUACUCAGAUAAUAAAACACAGUUACUGUAGGCGAUACUACCUUGUAAGAUUUCAAGUAUCUUCUGACUCACCAUGAAACAAUUCAGGCUUUAACUGAAGAUAUUACCCAAAGAAUCCUAGCAGCAAAUCAGAAUUAAUACAGCUGUAAAGUUGUGCAAAAGACAGGUCUUGCCUCUCAUUAGUGAUGGAGUGUGUCAUGAAAAUAUGAAAAGCUGACCUGUAAAAAAGAAUCUGCCAAGAAGCAAAGACUGCAGCAUACAGAAGAGGAAAGGAAUCAAACAGAGAAGAGGAACAUUCUCAACGAUACCAUACAAGCCAACAUAACGUUUAAUUGGAAUGUGGUGGGGCAAAUGAUGAUGCUGAUUUUUUUGGUCAUAUUUUAUAAAGUGAAAACUAAAAUUAGCACAAUCUAGUGAACAGCAAACUGCAUACAUGCAUAAAAUCUGGCUUCUAUUUCUGUCUCUGCAGUAACCAAAUUUACUACGCAAUUUUCAACAUGUUACAUCAUGUACAUACAUUGCUGUUUUCCCAUCCCACUGUCAUGCAGCCAUUAAAACAAAGUGAGAAUACCAGAUGACUUUUAAAUGAACACACGACUGAUUAAGAGAAGACCACAACUACUCACAAAAAGAAGUCAAGGAUGAUCUAAACAAUCUCAUCUUGUUUAAUAGCAUCUUUCAAAAGCAUUCUAAGCAAAACAGCAAUACUUUAAGUCAUUAGUCAACAUACAGAAAAAAAGCAGAUCAAUGUGCUAUUUUUUGCUGCAUGAAUGGGGAAGUUCGUAAUUGCAAAAAAAAAAACAAAAACCUUCACUUGUGUAUAUCAAGCAGGCAUCUUUUCCCAACAAAAAGA